UUUGCACCGCGAAAUGGCCCAGAGAAUGUCAUCCAAUGAGGGUGAAGUAAAGGGAAAACAAGUAAAAUAAUGAUAAAAGGCGGAGCCCGCGGCGUGAUUUGAUUGGUCGAGAUAUCGCCGGCGUUCGAGUCAACCCGCGAAGAAGAGGGGGUUGUCCUCUCCUUUCUCUCUCCUCGUCUUUCUCUCUGGCCCUGUCUCUCUCGAUUUCUCGUUCCUCCUCUUCGCUUCUCUCCACCACACACCUUCGUCCCCGCUUUUCUCUCUCUCUCUCGAUCCUUUUCUCGUCUCCUUUAUGUCCGUCUCGUUUCGACCGCUACGUGCACUCUCUCUCUCUCUCUCUCUCACUAUCUCACUCUCACUCUCUCUCUUUCUCUUUCUCUCGUGCGCACACGACACACACACACACACACACACACACACACACACACACAGACACCACAUUGGCUUACUUUAUUCUCCAUUCUCUGUCGGUCCAUGCUCCGUGAUCGUGUCCUGACUCUGGCAGAACCAUCGGUUCUCCCUCCUCCCCUUUCUAUCUUCCUUCAACUUCUUUUCUUCUUCUUCGCUUCAGCGUCUUCUUUCUCUGCGCUCUACUACGUCAUCGUCGUCACCGUCGUCGUUGUCGUCGUCGUCGUCGUCUUUCUUCUAGGCCCUGUGUCUUUGCUCGCAAAGAUACACUUUAGUCGAUAGAAACGGUGGCAACGAGGGUACUCGAUCCGCGCGUGAAAUAUAUAUUUCAAACGAUCGCGAUAAAUCUCGAAAAACCGGAUAUCGACGCGUGUAACCUUUUUCCUGGCCAAGCCCUGUUCGGCCAAGAUGCCACGGCGAAUCUCGUUUAGCAGAAAUAUCGUACAUCGAUGAUAGGAGAGAGGAAAGAGUAACUCGUUGCGGAACCAUAUGCGGGAAGCAUAGGUCAAAGAGAUGAUUAGCGUAGCGAAAAUUCGGAGGCCGUCACGUGUUCCGAGGGGCGGUUUCGUGGCGGAAAAGUAUAUUGACUCGUGAUACGCCAUCUGUGCGAAGGAGGCACCCUCUCGUCGGCAUUAUUGGCAAAAUUAAUAAGCCCCGUGAUCGCGGUAGGUCGAAAUGGGAAGUGGUUAAUUCUGGCUUUACCCAUGGACCCGAUGUUGGCGGAUUAGAAACCUUUCCAAACGAAUGGAAAUUGUUUGCUCGACGAGAAGCAACACGCCGAGGGGUUGCCGCGUCUCCAACUUGCUACGACGCGUAUCCUAAAAAAGCAUCGGUGAUAAAUUAUUGCUGUCUGUCGCUGAAUUCAGUUGCCGUAAUCUCCAAUACUCAUUAUGGCGCAUUAAACCGAACAAGUUCUCCAAAUAAGCGUCCAAGGUUUACCGAUUAAUCGCUGCCGAUAAUUUGUCGUACGCUGAUUUAUCGCCGCUCUAUCCGUGCUCGAUUCUCUCGUUCUCGUUAGAUUCCACUUCUUUUUUCCUCCAAGUACCGAGAUAAAAAGAUCCACGUUACACGUGCUCGUUUACGAAUACGUCCUUCCGACAUACCGCCUUGCAUUACACCAUACAACAAUUAUUAAGAACACGAUCGAUCACGACGAAACCGACGAUGUUCCCGAUCCGAUCUAUUUCGGCGACUGGAUGACGUCCGAAGAACGAGUUUCCCGUGCUCGCAACACUCUCGGCGAUGCGAGACGCGCGUGUCGUUGCAGGUCGAAACGGCUGGCGACGCGGUACCGAAAAUUAACGCCACCGCGAAUCAAGACGACAAUGUGAUUCAUCAGUUAAAUCCGCGUGCAUAAUCCUUUACACAGCGUCCGAUCCCCGUCCACUAACGUAGAUACCAACGUAGAUGGGGACGAGGAACGUAGCUACGGAGGAGAAGCGGGGUUGACGAUGGUGGUUGGUUCUGUCAGCAGGGACUACGAAUUAUAAUCACAGUUGUGGUUCGUGCGGCUACGGGGGUGGAUCGAGGUGGACGAUGGAAGAGGAGCGAGAGGAGGAGGAGGGCGACGACGACGACGACGUUCGUCCGCUCGAGGGGAUGGAAAAGGGUGUAUUUACCCAGCAACGGUAUACACCGGCGCCACCGAGGACGGACCUAGAUGGAAAUCUGCGGCAUUCAGAGGCACUGGGCAAGAAAAUUGGCUGACAACAUUUCGCACGGCCGUCGAAUUGCCGAUCCCGUCCCCUUCCUGGACAGGAGGCCGUGUUCACCGAUAUUUACGCCGGACGAACUUGACGCAUCGUUCUAAUCGUCCUGACAAUUUAUCCUUCCUUUGCUAUGCGGGAUGCGCGAUCCGCGGCAUAAAAUCGCGAUCGGUCUGGUCGUAGCACGGAAUCCGCUCGACGCAACGACCACAUGCCAGUUAUUUCUUUGCUCUUUCGGCGUAACAAAGGCCGGAAUAACGUUCGAUCCGAAGGGGAUUUAACUUGGAUCGAAACGGAGAAAAGCGUUUGUCGUGCUGAAUGUGACAGAGACCCGUUAACGAGCAACGUCGCACGACUAUAUCGAACGGCCGCGUUUAUUUCGGCAAAAGGCUUGGAGGCGUUUCCGACGAGAAGCCCUAAUGAUCGCCUCGUGCCGACAACCGGCGAAUCCCGGCCAAAUAAAUCCGGCUUGAUUGAAUCAUUGUUAAGCGAAACCGCGUUAAAUACCCGUGAAAUUAACCCAGACGAUCCGUGCGCGGCACGCGAUCACUGAUUGGCUCCAGGGUAUCGCCUUUAAAGUGCCAUUAGAGGGCACCUCGUUCUCCGCUCCGAAACCAUUGAUUAAUGACUUGUCCGCAACACCGAGCCACGUCUCUUACGACAAAAUCUUCCGCUAACGUAUCCUACGAACCAUCUUGCACAGGCGCCUCUCCACCCUUUCGUCCUUUCCGCCAAUUCCAGGAAUUUCACCGGGAUUUAUACGAACGUCCGUGCAAACUUAAUCGGUAAACAGUUUAUCGUUCGAAUAAACGUCGGUCGGACGGGUUCGAGGGACACGCGAACCUACGGCAAACCUGUCGCAUCCUUUUCAUUUCGUUGGUGAUAAUUCCGUCUUUGAGCCAGCUCCGAUACGGUCCGCGGUCGGACAUUAGGGUGAUGGCGCGGACAUAUGGGAGCACCAUGUGGUCACCACGGUGUCGGCGAAAGCGGAGAGAGAGAAAGAGCAUAGAACCCCCGAGAGCAAGGCAACCGCAAGAGGCGAUAGGGAUAUAGGCGACCGCAGAUUCAAACGGAUCCGACGGCUAAACGCUCGCCGCAAUUUGUAGCAAUUUGUUAAGUAGCCGGCCAGAACAUUACCUAUAUUGCGUUUACUCCCCUUGACCGGAAGAUAUACGGGGGCAAGUUCAGAUUUAUCGUUCUCGCUAACGGAACAGAUCGGAGAAAAGAAGUCACGAGCCUGUGUGAGUCAGGAUAAAUUUGCUCGCGAGGCGAUAAACGUUCGGCGUGUUGUGUAGGUCUUUGCAAAUUCGCGGAAAGAACAGAGCCAUUCGUUACGAAAAGAGGCGGGACCAUCGCGUUUGUCGAGCGAAAAUAACUUGACCUCGUUCCAACGAGUCGACGCUUCGAUGCGCGACUUUUCGUCGAGUCAUCGCCGAUGAAAAGCAAAAACGAGCUGCACGGAAAAAGCUACACGCGAGCGAGGAAAAAGGAAUCCAGUGUAACGCAAAGAUUCCGUGAAAUCGAGGUUGGAGCUGGCAGACAAUUUAAAUCGUAGGUAAACGUCGAGGGGACUCGUUUUAUCCCCGGGCGACCUUAUCGAAGUCUCUUCUCUUUCGGCGUAGAGAGGACUCCUCUUCUCUUGUCGGUGUUCGUGGACUCGUGCAAGAGGGCGAAGAUUCGAGACGAGAGCGAAACGACUUUGGUCUUUCGUGGAUGCUUUUAGUCGAUGAGUUUCGCUUCCCUACAUCCCGUUUCGCUUUCGUCUCGUUCUGUAGCAUCGCUGUCCUGGCCUAACCCAGCUUUCUCAUCCAUAUGUAACAGUCGCCUGGUAUUAAUGACAGGGGGAAAGAGACGGAGCACGACAUGUUACCUUCUUUAUCCUAGAAACUCUCGCUCUCUCUCUCUCUCUCUCUCUCUCUCUCUCUCUUUUCCUCCGUUUCAUUCGCCAGUUACACGCUAUUGCGGUUUUAUCGGUGCCUUUUCAUUAUCUGAUAAAUAUAAUGGAAUUAUUUGUUUGCCGUUUGAACGCGGCCAUUGCGUCACGGGGCUCCGCGAUUGCCAAUAAGUUAUUUAGAACGACCGCGCCUUUCGACGACACGAAAUUCUUCGGCACAUUGUCAUCGCGAUCGAGAACGACAACUUCUCGUUUAAUAAAUGGAACGCGGACAAUCUAGGCCACCAGUGUUUACCGUCCACCGUCUACCGGCGUCUAUCAGGACGGACGAGGAGAGGCGGCAACUCGCGAGUCGCCGAGGACAAGGAUCGUCGACGAUGAUCGCAAAGGCUGAACGCGUGUCGGCGACGAGACGAGCCAAGAUACAGGAACGGGAGCGGCAGCGAAGGAAGAAACGAAUGCCAAAGAAAAGGGAUGAAACGCACGAUGUACGAAGAGUAUUCACUAAAGAGUCAAGAUCAAGUUGGCUCCUGUGAAUGGAACACGUGUACCGUGUCACAUCUAUCUGAAAAGUUCAUCGUUUCGGAGAUCUCGUAAAAAAGUUUCCUAGAAUGCGAGCUAUCUUCGGAGCCAUGGUGGCGAGUGUGUAAUCGAAGGAAUUGUAGAACACUUUUCUCAUGCAAAUACACUCGAUGCGGAGACCCGGAGAAGGGACAACGAACUUCUUUGGGCUGCUUAAAACUUCGAACUUAGGUCCUUUUAAAUUUAAAUGCUCUCCCCGGUCGAACAGCCGUCGUGCGUUCUUCUCUCGAACGGUUUCUCGCGCCGGUGUCGUAUAGAUGGUAAUAAAAAACAAAAAAAAAAAAAAGAAAAUACGCCAAAGCGUACGAACGGUGCGAUGGAUCGCGAUGCCGGGAUAAAAAAAAAAAAUGUCAUCGAUAUCUCCGCUUUACGCAUCGAAUAGCAUUCGCUGUACGUCCACGAAAUUGUAUCGCGGCUACUUUAACACAUAUUUCAAUGCGAAAGCGAAAAUAGUUUUCAGGGAGAUGGCAAAAAUUCGACCUGUCCGGGAACAACAUUUUCCAGCAAUUCUAGCGCGUUCGGUCAUUGUUUACCUGGGAAUUUUACAACCUUCAUAAAAGAUCGUACGCGUAUUCGCGUUGCAGUAAUUAUCGAAACGAAUAAAAUUGUCGCCCUGUAUGUAAUAAUAAGCAGACAGGCGAAUAUAAACGUAAUAAUUGCGAAAACGUGCGUUCGAAUCGUAGUAACACGAACGUAUCAAAAAUUAUUAUUUGCCGCUCGAUGUCCAAUGACCAGAAAAAUAUUUGCCUAAAGCGCGCGCACGCCGUUGAUGUGCCUCGAUACGGAUCGCAUUUGAAAUUCGAAUUAUUAUAAUUACGGUGUGCGAUUAAAAAUGAGAAGACAGGAGGGAGGGAUAAAGGGAUGCGUAACCUCCGCUGUUCAAUGAUAUAAUUACAAAGAGUUACAUGGUAGAAUGCGUCUACGAGCUGCGCUUAUUAAACCGAAAAUUUCAUGCGCAUUAAAUUAAGAAUAGAUUGUAUGCAUUAUCAUCGUGUGUAUCCCACAGAUAUUUUUCCCUGGUGAAUAAAAAAUAAUAAAGAAACGAAUGUAAUGAAUAAACGAACGAAAA